rnacentral:antisense_RNA from 2 species
CUUCACCGAGCCCAGCCACAAGGGCUCCUGGCCGCGGCCCUGCCCGUAGGUGGCGAGCAGCGCCUGCGCCUC